rnacentral:lncRNA from 10 species
GGCUUUGCUGGGCGCCAUGGGAUGACAGCAUCCUCUUGACGCUGAUACAGAGAGAAGGGUCAUCGCCAUGCCAGGACAGUGACAGCAGGGGCAGCUGCCACCCCCACUGGCACAUGCUGCUUGACUCGGUGCCUAAAGAUAACAAAACUAGAGCCAUAGGAAAACAGAAGAAUUCCAUUAGCGGGAGCGUUCAUCCUCGGGGAGAGGUGAGCAGGCUUCAACCUGCCAAAGUUCCGUGAGUAAUGAACGGCCCCGGAAAAUUCCUGGAUUCCACCGUUUUCCACUGUCCUACAGGGUUUUCUAUGCCUGUCAGCAAUUUUAAAUGUAUGCUUCUCUGUUGCCUUCCCGACUGCCAUGCUGAAUUGGCAGCUUGGAAAGCUGAACCUCCUCUUUCCUGGAGGGGGUACUUUCCUCAGUGGGAAGAGCCGUGUUGAACAUUUAGGAUAGAAGAGGAGAGAAAACUGGGAAAGGAGUGAUGUAAAUAAAGGCAGUAGGGAUGUAAAGGAAGGAAAGUUUAAAACACUGGAGUUGGGCUAGUGCAGAGCAAGAGGGUAGACAACAGGCAAUGAGAAUAGUACCUGCCUUCUUCAGUAGAGAUCCGGGGCUUAUUCCGAAAACAUUUUAAAAAUAGAAACCCGGAAGUACGAAGAAAAAAAAAUUCAUCCAAGCAAAGAAAAGCGGGACUAUGGCAGUGAGACAAAAAUCUGAGGUGCACAAAAGUCAGAACGUUCGCGGUGCAACAGGGAAACACCAUAAGAGGAAGGGAAACCUAGGUAUCUACACGUUAUAGACCUGAAAGUCUAGGGACAAUAAGAAAAGCCAUCAAAAGAAAUUUAAAUCUUAAUUAAUCUAAAUUGUUUGGCAGUGUUAUCUCCAGGCUACCUGAACUUCUGGAUAAUUCCAGGUUAACCUGGAAACUCCUGAGUGUCCUGGCUCAAUUCUCUCUGCCUUUAAAAUAAGAUGUAUUGGGAGAUGGAUGAGGCAGGCCAGGAGAGGAGAGGGGAUUUCACCAAUGGAAGAUUCCAGAAAGCUCAUCUCAACAUGGAAGAGAAAGGACCUUGCCCUCCUCCUUGUGCCGCUGCUGGAAGGAGAAAGAGCCCUCCGUCCCCUCACGUCUGCUGCAGGACAGGGGGCCCAAGAGGGCCUCAGCACACUGGCUGCAAGACGGAGACCAGUGACCAGAGCCAAAGCAAGUGGAAAGCAAGGAAAGCCUCCUCUCCUGGAUCCAAAGAGCCUCCCGGUGCUGGGUAAAGAUGCCAGUCGGUGCGCGAGUCUUCAAAUGUUGCUCUGCUCCUCCUGCCCCCAUACCAAGGGGAGCCCCCUCCAGCAACUUUGCUUAAUUAACCUGUUCAGAGAAGCUAGAAACCCCUUCAGCUGA